AGAGGUCUCAAGCGUUGUUCGGAUUCAUUGGGCGUAAAGGGUGCGUAGGUGGUGGCGCAAGUCUGGUGUGAAAUCUCGGAGCUCAACUCCGAAAUUGCACCGGAUACUGCGUGACUCGAGGACUGUAGAGGAGAUCGGAAUUCACGGUGUAGCAGUGAAAUGCGUAGAUAUCGUGAGGAAGACCAGUUGCGAAGGCGGAUCUCUGGGCAGUUCCUGACACUGAGGCACGAAGGCCAGGGGAGCAAACGGGAUUAGAUACCCCGGUAGUCCUGGCAGUAAACGGUGCACGUUUGGUGUGGGCGGGUUCAGACCCCGUCCGUGCCGGAGCUAACGCGUUAAACGUGCCGCCUGGGAAGUACGGUCGCAAGAUUAAA
rnacentral:rRNA from 1 species